rnacentral:rRNA from 1 species
CAUGGAUAUGUUGUUAAAGGUUUACCGCCUUGGGAUAGGCUUGCGUCUGAUUAGUUAGUUGGUGUGGUAACGGCACACCAAGGCUACGAUCAGUAACUGGUCUGAGAGGAUGAUCAGUCACACUGGAACUGAGACACGGUCCAGACUCCUACGGGAGGCAGCAGUGAGGAAUAUUGGGCAAUGCUCGAAAGAGUGACCCAGCAACGCCGCGUGGAGGAUGAAGGUAUUCUAUAUCGUAAACUCCUGUGAGAGCAGACGAAAGACAGAAUUAUUAAUCUGGAUGACUGUAUGCUCAGAGGAAGCCCCGGCUAACUACGUG